rnacentral:rRNA from 1 species
CUGUAAGACUGGGAUAACUCCGGGAAACCGGGGCUAAUACCGGAUGCUUGAUUGAACCGCAUGGUUCAAUUAUAAAAGGUGGCUUUUAGCUACCACUUACAGAUGGACCCGCGGCGCAUUAGCUAGUUGGUGAGGUAACGGCUCACCAAGGCAACGAUGCGUAGCCAACCUGAGAGGGUGAUCGGCCACACUGGGACUGAGACACGGCCCAGACUCCUACGGGAGGCAGCAGUAGGGAAUCUUCCGCAAUGGACGAAAGUCUGACGGAGCAACGCCGCGUGAGUGAUGAAGGUUUUCGGAUCGUAAAACUCUGUUGUUAGGGAAGAACAAGUACCGUUCGAAUAGGGCGGUACCUUGACGGUACCUAACCAGAAAGCCACGGCUAACUACGUGCCAGCAGCCGCGGUAAUACGUAGGUGGCAAGCGUUGUCCGGAAUUAUUGGGCGUAAAGCGCGCGCAGGCGGUUUCUUAAGUCUGAUGUGAAAGCCCCCGGCUCAACCGGGGAGGGUCAUUGGAAACUGGGGAACUUGAGUGCAGAAGAGGAGAGUGGAAUUCCACGUGUAGC